rnacentral:rRNA from 1 species
GACUCUCGCGAAUCGGCUUCGCAUCGAUGAAGAACGUAGCGAAAUGCGAUACUUGGUGUGAAUUGCAGAAUCCCGUGAACCAUCGAGUCUUUGAACGCAAGUUGCGCCCGAGGCCUCCUGGUCGAGGCACGUCUGCCUGGGUGUCA